rnacentral:rRNA from 1 species
UACGUAGGGCGCGAGCGUUGUCCGGAAUUAUUGGGCGUAAAGAGCUCGUAGGCGGUUUGUCGCGUCGGUUGUGAAAACCCAAGGCUCAACCUUGGGCCUGCAAUCGAUACGGGCAGACUAGAGUACUGCAGGGGAGACUGGAAUUCCUGGUGUAGCGGUGGAAUGCGCAGAUAUCAGGAGGAACACCGGUGGCGAAGGCGGGUCUCUGGACAGUUCCUGACGCUGAGGCACGAAGGCCAGGGGAGCAAACGGG